GAGAACUAACAUCUUGAUGAGUCGAAUGAUAGGGUAACGCCUAAAAAGGCUCCUUUAAUACUCCGAUGGGCGUGUAUAUGUAUAAGCGUCGAAGCGUCUAGAGCUCGGUGAAGUCGCGUGACCCUGCCCUUUUGGAAUUAAAAACCUUUUGGAAACCUGUUCAGAGGUGAACAGUGCGGGUUUAGCGCGGAAGUCUAAAAA
rfam:Dehalobacter sp. CF, complete genome.